rnacentral:lncRNA from 1 species
UUAGAUAAGUGUAAGGCUUAAAUUAAAAUAUUGUUUGUUUGCCCUUUACCGACCGACCCUAUAAAUUCGUUCCGCCUGAAAAUAUUUUAUUUGUGUUUACCAGCAAGAUUUUAUUUUAUUUUAUUUUUUGUUCCUACCAAAAAUCUUAUAUUUGUAUUUCCCGCUCAAAACUUUUUUCCCGGAAUUCUCAGGUUUUAUCUUUCCUGUAUAAGGUCUAGUCCGUUUGGUAUCACAUGAGCAUUUGACAUGAAUGAAUACUUGCAUUUGGAGUUUCAAAGCACUUGUUUGAAAUCGAUGUUGAAAGCUUUGAAAUCAUGAUUUAACGAACGUUACUCUGUGUCUUUAUACAUGAAGAGCAGGGUUCAUUCAAAAAAAGUUCGUCCAAUACUAAAUUAUCAACGUGUGUACAAAAUAUUUUGUAAACAGACUUUGUAUCCUAUGUAGGGAUGGCCUUUGGUUGUCCCUAGAUUAGGAUGAUUAUGUUAAUGAUGCCUUCGACCAGCAUUGAUAUAUUCUGAUUUAUAUCUGACAUGAACCAAAGGUCUGUAAAGGGGAGAAUAUUUGGCAGUAAAAUCGCCAAGUUUUUCCAUACAGAUCAUUUAUAAAUGCGGUGUAAAAUACGUGACGUCUUGUAGCAUUUUUAUUGGAAACACAGGCACACACAAAAAUUUAAACACUCUAGGGACUUUUUCUACUAGUAAUGUACAAUGUAUUUCUGCCCGGACAUAUUUUACCAGAACAAAAUUAUCUCUUACCUGCUUACAGAAAAACUUUAGGUCUAGGUAAGCGUUCAAGGUACAUAGUACUAUUAGUGUAAGUUAAAAUUCUUUAAAAUUCC